rnacentral:misc_RNA from 1 species
UGGAAAAUAGGAAGCAAUUUUCAUUAUGAUAGUUCAAGAAUAGAUUUGCAUAUCCAUGCAUAUCAUUUUUUGCAUAACUCCUUGGUAAUAUCUUAACGAGCAUACAUAGCCAGGCUAAUAAACACCAUCUAGAGAAGAAAAUACAGAAGUUAAAGCUAAAAUCAGGCUAAAUUUUCCUGAUGGGUGUGCAAAUUUGCGCACACGCACAUGUAUAUA